UUGAUCCCGCCGGACCUGACUGCUAUCGGAUUGAUACUAAGCCAUGCGAGUCAUUGUAGUAAUACAAGGCAGACGGCUCAGUAACGCGUAGUCAACCUACCCUGUGGACGGGGAUAACCUCGGGAAGCUGAGAAUAAUACCCGAUAGAACAUUAUGCCUGGAACGGUUUAUGUUUCAAAUAAUUUAUUGCCGUAGGAUGGGACUGCGUCCUAUCAGUUUGUUGGUGAGGUAAUGGCCCACCAAGACUAUUACAGGUACGGGCUCUGAGAGGAGUAGCCCGGAGAUGGGUACUGAGACACGGACCCAGGCCCUAUGGGGCGCAGCAGGCGAGAAAACUUUGCAAUGUGCGAAAGCACGACAAGGUUAAUCCGAGUGGUUUCUGCUAAAGGAACCUUUUGUCAGUCCUAGAAACACUGAUGAAUAAGGGGUGGGCAAGUUCUGGUGUCAGCCGCCGCGGUAAAACCAGCACCUCAAGUGGUCAGGAUGAUUAUUGGGCCUAAAGCAUCCGUAGCCUGCUUUGUAAGUUUUCGGUUAAAUCCAUACGCUCAACGUAUGGGCUGCCGGGAAUACUGCAAAGCUAGGGAGUGGGAGAGGUAGACGGUACUCGGUAGGAAGGGGUAAAAUCCUUUGAUCUAUUGAUGACCACCUGUGGCGAAGGCGGUCUACCAGAACACGUCCGACGGUGAGGGAUGAAAGCUGGGGGAGCAAACCGGAUUAGAUACCCGGGUAGUCCCAGCUGUAAACUAUGCAAACUCAGUGAUGCAUUGGCUUGAUGCCAAUGCAGUGCUGCAGGGAAGCCGUUAAGCUUGCCGCCUGGGAAGUACGUACGCAAGUAUGAAACUUAAAGGAAUUGGCGGGGGAGCACCACAAGGGGUGAAGCCUGCGGUUCAAUUGGAGUC
rnacentral:rRNA from 1 species